rnacentral:rRNA from 1 species
UGCCUAAGACAUGCAAGUCGUACGAGGUGGCCCUUUGACAUUUGUGCUUGCACAAAUUGAUUAGGAAUUUCCACCUAGUGGCGAAAGGGUGAGUAACACGUGGGUUAUCUACCUCAGAGACUGGGAUAACUACUAGAAAUGGUAGCUAAUACUGGAUGAUAUAUAUAAUGAUACGUUAUUAUAUAUUAAAAGGAGCCUUUAAAGCUUCACUUUGAGAUGAGCCUGCGACGUAUUAGCUAGUUGGUAAGGUAAUGGCUUACCAAGGCAACGAUGCGUAGCCGACCUGAGAGGGUGAUCGGCCACAUUGGGACUGAGACACGGCCCAAACUCCUACGGGAGACAGCAGUUAGGGAUAUUCGUCAAUGGAGGAAACUCUGAACGAGCAAUGCCGCGUGAGUGAUGACAGUUCUUUGGAUUGUAAAACUCUGUUGUUAGGGAAGAACGACCAGUAUAGGAAAUGAUACUGGAGUGACAGUACCUUUCAAGAAAGCUCCGGCUAACUACGUGCCAGCCGCGGC